rnacentral:rRNA from 1 species
CUACGGGACGCAGCUGUGAGGAAUAUUGCACAAUGGGGGCAACCCUGAUGCAGCAACGCCGCGUGGAGGAUGACGCAUUUCGGUGUGUAAACUCCUUUUAUCAGAGAAGAACCAUGACGGUAUCUGAUGAAUAAGCUCCGGCUAACUCCGUGCCAGCAGCCGCGGUAAUACGGAGGGAGCAAGCGUUAUUCGGAAUCACUGGGCGUAAAGGACGCGUAGGCCGGUCUGUAAGUCAGGUGUGAAAUGCAAUGGCUCAACCAUUGAACUGCACUUGAAACUGCGGACCUAGAGUAUGGAAGGGGCAGAUGGAAUUAGUGGUGUAGGGGUAAAAUCCGUAGAUAUCACUAGGAAUACCGAAAGCGAAGGCGAUCUGCUGGGACAUAACUGACGCUGAGGCGUGAAAGCGUGGGGAGCAAACAGGAUUAGAUACCCCCGUAGUC